rnacentral:rRNA from 1 species
CAGCAGUGGGGAAUAUUGCACAAUGGGCGCAAGCCUGAUGCAGCCAUGCCGCGUGUGUGAAGAAGGCCUUCGGGUUGUAAAGCACUUUCAGUUGUGAGGAAGGUGGUGUCGUUAAUAGCGGCAUCAUUUGACGUUAGCAACAGAAGAAGCACCGGCUAACUCCGUGCCAGCAGCCGCGGUAAUACGGAGGGUGCGAGCGUUAAUCGGAAUUACUGGGCGUAAAGCGCAUGCAGGUGGUUUGUUAAGUCAGAUGUGAAAGCCCCGGGGCUCAACCUCGGAACUGCAUUUGAAACUGGCAGACUAGAGUACUGUAGAGGGGGUAGAAUUUCAGGUGUAGCGGUGAAAUGCGUAGAGAUCUGAAGGAAUACCGGUGGCGAAGGCGGCCCCCUGGACAGAUACUGACACUCAGAUGCGAAAGCGUGGGGAGCAAACAGGAUUAGAUACCCUGGUAG